rnacentral:rRNA from 1 species
AGUGAACGCUGGCGGCAGGCCUAACACAUGCAAGUCGAACGGCAGCACAGGAGAGCUUGCUCUCUGGGUGGCGAGUGGCGGACGGGUGAGGAAUAUAUCGGAAUCUACCCUUUCGUGGGGGAUAACGUAGGGAAACUUACGCUAAUACCGCAUACGAACUGAGGUUGAAAGCGGCGGACCGCAAGGCGUCGCCAGGAUGGAUGCGCCGAUAUCCGAUUAGCUAGUUGGCGGGGUAAAGGCCCACCAAGGCGACGAUCGGUAGCUGGUCUGAGAGGAUGAUCAGCCACACUGGAACUGAGACACGGUCCAGACUCCUACGGGAGGCAGCAGUGGGGAAUAUUGGACAAUGGGCGCAAGCCUGAUCCAGCCAUGCCGCGUGUGUGAAGAAGGCCUUCGGGUUGUAAAGCACUUUUGUUGGGAAAGAAAAGCGGUCGGUUAAUACCCGGUCGUUCUGACGGUACCCAAAGAAUAAGCACCGGCUAACUUCGUGCCAGCAGCCGCCGUAA